rnacentral:tRNA from 1 species
GCGGAAUUGGCCAGGAUCGAUUCGGUCUGUUUACAGUACGAAUCGGAAUUGCGACGAGGGUCCAGCCCAUCGAUCGAUUCGUUGGUUUCGCG